rnacentral:rRNA from 1 species
CCCUUAGAUGUCCUGGGCCGCACGCGCGCUACACUGAGUGUCUGAGAUACGAGUCUGCCUGGUCCGGCAAGGUCUAGGCAAUCGCUAAAAGACACAUCAUGCUUGGGAUAGAUUAUUGCAAAUAUUAAUCUUGAACGAGGAAUUCCUAGUAAGCGCAAGUCAACAGCUUGCGUUGAUUACGUCCCUGCCCUUUGUACACACCGCCCGUCGCUACUACUGAUUGGAUGUUUAAGCGAGGUUCUCGAACUGCUAGCGACUUAGCUUCGGUGAGGUCGCAGUGUGGGAAGUGAACCUAGCUUUGGUGUCUAGAGGAAGUAAAAGUCGUAACA